CGUUCAGCACUUCCCAUGUGGCACAUGCACAUCUUCCUUCCUUCUCCACUUCCCCUCACAGAUGCUUGCGUGGGCCUGCUACCCACCACACAUCACAAGAGGUGCUGGUGAUGGGGAGAUGAGUAACUGGCCUGCUUCUUGUUCUCCUGUAGCUCACAUUUCCAUGUUAGGACAGACAAUAAUUAACAAAGGAUGUGAAGAAUGCUACGGGAAUACUGAUUCCAGGAAGCAAUUAAUUUGGCCAGGGUGUAGGAGGGUGGAAGAGUGAAUAGUGGGAACUAUUCACUAUUAACUAUGAGUGAAUAGUCCUAAGGAAGGCUUGGGACUCAUCACUCCUUUGACAAUUAUAAUACAAGCUGAAUAUCUCUAGUCCAAAAACCCAAAACUACUUUCUGAGCAACGACAUGAUGCACAAAGGAAAGGCUCAUUAGAGCAUUUUGGACUUUUGGAUUAGGGACGCUGAACCACUGGGUAUAAUGAGAAUAUUUCAAAAUCCCAAACAAUCUGAAAUCUGAAACACUUCUGGUCCCAAGCAUUUCAGAUAAGGGAUAGUCAACCUCUAAUACUAAAGGUUCCAUUCUUUACAUUUCUACUAUAGACGCUUUUCAGAAAUGCUCAUCUGGCCUUGCUGGGGCUUAAAACCUUCCAAGGGCUUGCCCUGGCCUCAACUUCCAAUUCCCUGGAAUGGCUACAAAACCCUUCAGAACUGGAUUCCAGAAGAUUAUUUCAUACCAUCACUUCAAAUUCCUCAGGAGAGGAAGAUUAGCACAGAGACAUGAACAGAGGAAGGACCAAGUAGGGACAAGAAGAUGCCAUCUAUAAGCCAAAGAGAAGCCUCAGAAGAAGCCAACCCUGCUGACACCUUGUUCUUGGACUUCUAGCUUUCAGAACUGUGGGAAAAGAAAUCUGUUGAGUCAUCCAGUCUGCAGUACUUUGUUAUAGCAGCCCAAGCAAAUGAAUAUACCUUCCUUGACUACUUCAUCUUAUAACGUGCAAAUACCUCAACUUCAGCACCAUUUACAUGUUUAUUCACUGCCUUUAUUGUUAGUCAUUUGUGUCUCCCCAAGAGGACUGAAAGCUAUUUAAAGACUGAUAAUCUAUUUAAUAUCUUUUGGCAUUAUCAAUGCUCAACAUGUUAUCUUCCACAACAAUAAAGAUUUGACUUUUCUGUACUCUUCACUCCAAUUAAAUGCACGAGUGAAAAUUAUGGCUGUUAGUUGUUUUGCUGAAGUAAAGCGUAUUACAUCACUGCCCUGCUUUGGAGUACUGUACUGAUUUUUCUAUUCCUAAAGAAAAUCCAAACUACAGACUGGCAUACAAGACUUUUCAUACUCUGGUUACAAUUCAUCUCUCCACCCUUAUUGGACACUACUUACCAUCUACUCUACAAACUUGCAUAUCCAGCCUCUGCCACCCAAAAUCUCUCUCUUCCCUCUCCUUUACUUGGCUAACUUCUUUCGAAAGAUCCAGUUGAAAUGUCACCGACUCUACAAAGCUUUUGUAAUUUGCCCCUAGCCAGCAGCUCAGUCAUCUAAACUACCACAAUACUUCAUCUCUCUGUAAUAACACCACAACUUCUUCAAUUAAUCUUCUUUUACAUGUGUCUCCCCCAAGGGACUCCCUAAAGAAAGAACCCUUGUUUGCAUGCACGUAUCCCUGAUGCCCAGCACAAGGCCUGGCAAGCUAGGUACAGGGCAAAGAGAGAAAUCAUCAAACUUGAGGCUCAAGACCUGGACUGGCUCACCUUUAUUUCUCCAGCAUCCGUUACAGAGCCCCAAAACGUGGC
rnacentral:lncRNA from 1 species